rnacentral:misc_RNA from 1 species
UCGGGUUUUGACAACCAUAAGGUGGUCCAAUUGGAUGGACAGCAGCUGUGUUUUGCAACUGUUUUCAGUGGUGGCCUUUGUCAUAGAAACUUCCAUUCUGACUGAAUUGAAGGCGAGAGAGAAGCUCUUUUGCAGUUCAAGCUUGGCCUUAAAGAUCCUUCUAACUUGCUUUCUUCUUGAGGUGGUGAUGCAGAUUGCUGUGGAUGGUCCGGAGUCUUAUGUUAUAAUAUCACCAGCCAUGUU